rnacentral:rRNA from 1 species
UAAUAGCGUAUAUUUAAGUUGUUGCAGUUAAAAAGCUCGUAGUUGAAUUUCUGGAGAAUGGGAUUUUAGCUCUCAUUAAUUUGUGUGGCUAGUCUCAGUUCUUCUUCCUUCUAGAAGCCUCACUCGCAUUCAUUUGCUGGUGCUGGAUGUUCUAGAUUGUUUACUUUGAAAAAAUUAGAGUGUUCAAAGCAGGCGUUUGCAACUGAAUACAUUAGCAUGGAAUAAUGGAAUAGGACCAUUGUCUUAUUUUGUUGGUUCAUAAGAAAUGGUAAUGAUUAAUAGGGACAGUUGGGGGCAUUAGUACUCCGGUGUCAGAGGUGAAAUUCUUAGAUUGCCGGAUGACUAACUACUGCGAAAGCAUUUGCCAAGGAUGUUCUCAUUAA